rnacentral:tRNA from 1 species
GCGGGUAUAGUAUAGUGGCAAUAUGCGUGCUUCCCAAGCAUGAGACGCGGGUUCGAUUCCCGCUACCCGCACCU